GUCACAGUCGCCUAAGGGACGGGCAAUAGCCUUCUAAGCUAUCAUUUGUAGGUUCGAAUCCUAUCUGUGGCA
rnacentral:tRNA from 1 species